GGCGCGGUAGCCAAGUGGUAAGGCGGUGGAUUGCAAAUCCAUGUAUCACCGGUUCGAAUCCGGUCCGCGCCU
rnacentral:tRNA from 1 species